CUAAUAAGAAUUUAAUAAAUUACCAUUUUUCAGUCCCUCAAGGACCGAACACUGGAUCAGCAAUGUACAGUUACACGGCCAGGUGUAUCAUGUAUUGCUGCUAGCUAUGCUGUCGAAUUGUUGGUAUCGCUGUUGCAGCAUCCACUGCGCGAUCGUGCGCCUGCCUAUUAUUGUGCCACCGGCCAGCCGAAUACCAAAGUACCCGAAGGCCGAUUGGGUGUCAUUCCGCAUUCGAUACGUGGCCAGCUAUGCAAUUAUGAAAACAUUUUACCGGCAACACAAAAGUUUUCACAGUGCAUUGCAUGUUCAGAGAAAGUAAUUUCCGAGUAUCGUGAAAAGGGUAAUGCAUUUUUAUUCAAAGCUUUUGAAACUGCCAAAUAUUUGGAAGACUUGACUGGAAUCUCUGAUUUUAAAGCACUGGAUAGCACGAUUAUUGACUUCGAUGACUCAGAUCUGGAAAUAUCCGAACCUGAAGAUAUGUAAUUUUACUAAAGAAAUUAUAUCUCCAAAUGUGUCUAUUU